rnacentral:tRNA from 4 species
CGCGUAGCUCAGUUGGUUAGAGCGCCGCCCUGUCACGGCGGAGGUCGCCGGUUCAAGUCCGGUCGUG